UACGAAGGGGGGCUAGCGUUGCUCGGAAUCACUGGGCGUAAAGGGUGCGUAGGCGGGUUUUUAAGUCAGAGGUGAAAUCCUGGAGCUCAACUCCAGAACUGCCUUUGAUACUGAAAAGUCUUGAGUAUGGGAGAGGUGAGUGGAACUGCGAGUGUAGAGGUGAAAUUCGUAGAUAUUCGCAAGAACACCAGUGGCGAAGGCGGCUCACUGGCCCAUUACUGACGCUGAGGCACGAAAGCGUGGGGAGCAAACAGG
rnacentral:rRNA from 1 species